rnacentral:rRNA from 1 species
CGUUUGACCUCGGAUCAGGUAGGGAUACCCGCUGAACUUAAGCAUAUCAAUAAGCGGAGGAAAAAGAAACCAACAGGGAUUGCCCUAGUAACGGCGAGUGAAGCGGCAACAGCUCAAAUUUGAAAUCUGGCUCUUUUAGAGUCCGAGUUGUAAUUUGCAGAGGGCGCUUUGGCUUUGGCAGCGGUCCAAGUUCCUUGGAACAGGACGUCACAGAGGGUGAGAAUCCCGUACGUGGUCGCUAGCUAUUGCCGUGUAAAGCCCCUUCGACGAGUCGAGUUGUUUGGGAAUGCAGCUCUAAAUGGGAGGUAAAUUUCUUCUAAAGCUAAAUAUUGGCCAGAGACCGAUAGCGCACAAGUAGAGUGAUCGAAAGAUGAAAAGCACUUUGGAAAGAGAGUCAAACAGCACGUGAAAUUGUUGAAAGGGAAGCGCUUGCAGCCAGACUUGCUUGCAGUUGCUCAUCCGGGCUUUUGCCCGGUGCACUCUUCUGCAGGCAGGCCAGCAUCAGUUUGGGCGGUGGGAUAAAGGUCUCUGACACGUUCCUUCCUUCGGGUUGGCCAUAUAGGGGAGACGUCAUACCACCAGCCUGGACUGAGGUCCGCGCAUCUGCUAGGAUGCUGGCGUAAUGGCUGUAAGCGGCCCGUCUUGAAACACGGACCAAGGAGUCUAACAUCUAUGCGAGUGUUUGGGUGUCAAGCCCGAGCGCGUAAUGAAAGUGAACGGAGGUGGGAACCCGCAAGGGUGCACCAUCGACCGAUCCUGAAGUUUACGGAAGGAUUUGAGUAAGAGCAUGGCUGUUGGGACCCGAAAGAUGGUGAACUAUGCUUGAAUAGGGUGAAGCCAGAGGAAACUCUGGUGGAGGCUCGCAGCGGUUCUGACGUGCAAAUCGAUCGUCAAAUU